UUAAACUGACAAACUCAUUUUUCUACUGGGACAGGAUGCUGUGCUGGCUGAAGUUCCAUUUCUACAGCAAGAAUCCUAUCUGGAAGCACAGAAGUUGUCCUCUAGCCACAGCAGCUCCAACUUUUUUGUUGUUGCUGCUUUCUUCUAUCACCCCCUUCCCCUUUUGACAAAGAUCCAACUGUAGAAAGUCUUACGUAACAGUUCAGGACUACUUCGGUUCUUUUACCGGUGAAAUGAAGCUGUGAUAAUGUGGUAAAUAUGGGGAGACACCAAGCUGUGGCUCUUGCGGACUUCAGCAGCACUGAAAUGCAACACUGUGGGCUUUGGCAGCUGCAUUCCGUACUCUGAAAUUCUUAUAUCAUUACUCUGGCAAACAAGAAGGAAUUUGCUUGUUUGAUUUAGCUCUGCAGUAAAGGUUCAAAUCUGAGACUGGUAAAGGAAGGAGAAAGCAACAUAUCCAACCAAUACUGGAACAAUGAACUCUGGUGUUCAAGUUCUGGCUAUGGAACUCCGGGUAAGUCUCUG
ensembl:antisense Nr6a1os nuclear receptor subfamily 6, group A, member 1, opposite strand